rnacentral:rRNA from 1 species
UAGNGGCGAACGGGUGAGUAACACGUGGGCAAUCUGCCCUUCACUCUGGGACAAGCCCUGGAAACGGGGUCUAAUACCGGAUACCACUCCUGCACCGCAUGGGUGGGGGUUGAAAGCUCCGGCGGUCUAAGGAUGAGCCCGCGGCCUAUCAGCUUGUUGGUGGGGUAAUGGCCCACCAAGGCGACGACGGGUAGCCGGCCUGAGAGGGCGACCGGCCACACUGGGACUGAGACACGGCCCAGACUCCUACGGGAGGCAGCAGUGGGGAAUAUUGCACAAUGGGCGAAAGCCUGAUGCAGCGACGCCGCGUGAGGGAUGACGGCCUUCGGGUUGUAAACCUCUUUCAGCAGGGAAGAAGCGAAAGUGACGGUACCUGCAGAAGAAGCGCCGGCUAACUACGUGCCAGCAGCCGCGGUAAUACGUAGGGCGCAAGCGUUGUCCGGANUUAUUGGGCGUAAAGAGCUCGUAGGCGGCUUGUCACGUCGGAUGUGAAAGCCCGAGGCUUAACCUCGGGUCUGCAUUCGAUACGGGCUAGCUAGAGUGUGGUAGGGGAGAUCGGAAUUCCU